rnacentral:lncRNA from 1 species
CAGAAACCUGUUUCCUGCAGGGACAUACAUUUAACGUCCGUGAAAGCCUCAGACCCCCUGAGCACACCUGCCUAGCCGUGUUGUGGACGAACAAGGGCUGACGAAAUGCCUGUGGAGGCUGAUUUCACCGGAGUCAGGGGAAGUCAGUCUAAGCAAAGAGCAGGGGCACGGAUGAAAAUAACAGAACAGUGACCCAGAAUCCUGGCUGUGGCCUCAUGAAACAGGUGCUGUUAAAAUCAGCUGCAUUGGAAACAGCCGAGUCAGGCAACGAAGGCACAGAGAGGUUAGACAACUUGUGGAAAAUCACGCAGCACCGGUGCCUCCACAUUCACACUCCGCCCCUCCGUGUCCUGCAAUCCUGACCAGCCCCACGUUCCCCAGGACAAGCCGCCAGCAUCCCGGAAGGGGUUAAUCCCUCUCUGGUGGGUCAGCUCCUGCCACUCUCCCGAGUGCUUUUGCACAUGGUCUGGUCGCAAUGUGCCCAAGACGGCCCUGUGCUGGGGAGGAAAGCGCUUACAUAAUCCUCCCCGAGUGUCUUCUCUCUCAGGCGGCAUGCACACCCCACUUGGGUUGCAACACAGGCAAGCAGAUGCCAGGAAAUUCUGAGGCUGCUGCUGAGCCUGGGCUGGGUGAGGCCCAGACCUGAGACCCCCUCACCUGUGUGGGCCCUUGGCUUCCUCUGUGCCCCUCCUGAGCGGGGUCCCUGGCACAGACUCUUGUUCAGACCGUGCAAGGUAGGUGCGUGGUCAGGAGCCCACGGCUCAGGACAGAAGCCAUUUGGGGAACCAGCGGGACCUCCAGCGGCUUGGAGGAGGCUGAGUGGGAAGCACGUUCCUACCCAGGCUGAGCACUUCACACAGGGGGCUGGGCCAGAGGGAGAGCUGCCUGCCCCGGAGACCCCUACCUGCCUUCCUGUGCUGGCACAGCCAUGCCCAGCCUCCGCUGGACAGCUUGGACUGAGGUUUCCUUGUGGUGGCCCCUCCCCAGAGUGUCUCCCGGGGGCACAGGCCCUGGCGGCAUGCACGUCACCCGGGGGGCUUUUAACAGAGACCAGCAACCCUCCCACAGAGGACUGGGGAGCCGGCCCGUGGCUGGCGUGGGGGAGGCAGG